GAGUUUGAUCCUGGCUCAGGAUGAACGCUGGCGGCGUGCCUAAUACAUGCAAGUCGAGCGAACGGACGAGAAGCUUGCUUCUCUGAUGUUAGCGGCGGACGGGUGAGUAACACGUGGAUAACCUACCUAUAAGACUGGGAUAACUUCGGGAAACCGGAGCUAAUACCGGAUAAUAUUUUGAACCGCAUGGUUCAAAAGUGAAAGACGGUCUUGCUGUCACUUAUAGAUGGAUCCGCGCUGCAUUAGCUAGUUGGUAAGGUAACGGCUUACCAAGGCAACGAUGCAUAGCCGACCUGAGAGGGUGAUCGGCCACACUGGAACUGAGACACGGUCCAGACUCCUACGGGAGGCAGCAGUAGGGAAUCUUCCGGCAAUGGGCGAAAGCCUGACGGAGCAACGCCGCGUGAGUGAUGAAGGUCUUCGGAUCGUAAAACUCUGUUAUUAGGGAAGAACAUAUGUGUAAGUAACUGUGCACAUCUUGACGGUACCUAAUCAGAAGGCCACGGCUAACUACGUCG
rnacentral:rRNA from 1 species